CACGAAGUUAGCCGGGGCUUUUUCUGCAGGUACCGUCAUUAUCUUCCCUGCUAAAAGAGCUUUACAACCCUAAGGCCUUCAUCACUCACGCGGCAUGGCUGGAUCAGGCUUGCGCCCAUUGUCCAAUAUUCCCCACUGCUGCCUCCCGUAGGAGUCUGGGCCGUGUCUCAGUCCCAGUGAGGCUGGUCAUCCUCUCAGACCAGCUACCGAUCGUCGCCUUGGUGAGCCGUUACCUCACCAACAAGCUAAUCGGACGCGGGCCGUUCCUUCGGCAAUAAAUCUUUCCCCGUAAGGGCGUAUUCGGUAUUAGCCCAAGUUUCCCUGAGUUAUUCCGAACCGAAGGGCGCGUUCCCACGUGUUACUCUCCCGUCUGCCGCUGAUGUAUUGCUACAUCCGCUCGACUUGCAUGUGUUAGGCCUGCCGCCAGCGUUCGCUCUGAGCCAGGAUCAAACUCU
rnacentral:rRNA from 1 species